GGCCGCCAAGAAACGAAAAGCACCAAAAUCAUUUACGACAUCUGCUCCUCGCGACUAGAAGCAAGCCGCUACUAAAAUGUCUUCUUGACUGCAGUACCCGCUUCACUGAAAUCGUAUGUAACACUGAACUCCCCACCUACCUCUUUGGAAUAGUUUUGCACAGCGCUCUAAAAUGCUGUCCUCAUUUUGCCCCAAAUAAAAUGACUCAUAACAGUUGUGCUUUUUCCCCCAGUGGACACUGCCAACCCAGAAAACCUUUCUAUAAAGAUAGAAGAGAAAGAAAACAAUUUUAUUAUCUGAUAAGCAUUCAACCAGAAUGUGAUGCGCAUCACAGUUAAGCGGCUAAAAUGACACAAACGGAAAGAAACCUUACUCUUCUAUAUAGCUAAGUGCACAUAACCCAUUACACUAGCUAGGCUGUGCAAUGUGGAGUCAGGUGACAAAUGGGUCCUUAACCUCCCUGGACACUGGGAGAUCAAGGUUUGUCUCUCUUGACAAUAACGUUUCUGAAAGAACGAUCCCAGGCCUUUGGGAAACCUUCCUGAGCGGCGAGACUAAUGGAUUGGGCUUACUUAGCCACUAAGGGUUUACAUUCAUUCGAAAAGAACAGCGACUACAAAAUCCUAAGAGUAAAGAGGGUUUCUCCCUAUUUUGAACCGAGGCCCCAGCAUCCAGCCUCCCACUUGUGCGGUGUUCCCGCGCCCCGCUCGCGGGCUGCCUCCCCUUCCCGGGUCCCCCAGUUGGGGGGCAGCAGGAGCGCGGGGCGUCUCCACGUGUUUACCGCACUUCUGCUUCCGCUCACACAGAAAACAACCCGAGGGCGCAGCUAACCCGCCCCCGGCCCCGCCCCGGCGCCCUCGUGACGUCAUCCCCCAGGGCCGCUCGGCGCCGCCGAUCACUUGGAGCCACGUGCGGCCGCCGGCGGGCUGCGUAGUGACGCAGGCGCGAGACUGUGCGGUGGCAGCCAUGGCGGACGGUUGAGAUGAGGCUGCUCCUGGGUCUCGCGGCUAUCCAAGACCAUUGAGGGUCCCCGGCGGCGCCUGCCGUCUGCUGAGGCUGGGUGGACUCCUCUGCGGCAGAUCUCCUGUAAGAUGUGCUGGUUAAGGCUUCUGGCAGAUUCGGGUCAGUCCCAAGUGCGACCGGUCUUCUGGGGCUGCCGUCCGCAGACCCUUCUCGCAUCCACGUACCUGGCGGCCUCCCUCAUCGCGUGCUGUUGGUAGGGGGGCGAGUCAGGCCCUGUACACGUCCUGACAGGCACCCGGCCCACCCCCAGCCAACUGUGCGCUGUGUUCCUGCCCCAGCACGAGACCUGUGGGGUGUCCGCGGCAGAAGAUGUCAGAGCUGGAAGAGACCUGAGAGGCGAUCCCUUGGUGGGUGAUGGGUUCUUCCGGGAAUCUGGUGGUUUGCGCGCCUUGUCGUCUGCUUCCAGAACAAGGAUCUUCGCUGUACGCCAAGACCCAGACCCCUCUGACAUCGGAAUGACAAGUGGGAUAUUUAAUAAAACAGUUUCAAAUUUGGAGUCA